AGGUCUGACUGACAGCAGGCCUAAUGCUUCCACUUUUGUAUCUCCAGUGAAACCAGCAUCAGAGAUGUACACACAAGAAACUGACACUACUGUAGAAAACAAGCCAUAUACAACACAGACCAGAGGUCAAACUGUU